rnacentral:rRNA from 1 species
AGAGUUUGAUCAUGGCUCAGAGUGAACGCUGGCGGCGUGCUUAACACAUGCAAGUCGAGCGAAGUGGCAGCUGUAGCAAUACAGUAUGUGCUUAGCGGCAGACGGGUGAGUAACACGUAGACAAUUUACCUCUUAGCGGGGGAUAGCCCGCCGAAAGGGGGGUAAUACCGCGUAAGAUCAGGAUUCGGCAUCGGAUUUUGAUGAAACACCCGCAAAGGUGGCUAAGAGAAAAGUCUGCGGCCUAUCAGCUAGUUGGUGAGGUAACGGCUCACCAAGGCUACGACGGGUAUCCGACCUGAAAGGGUGACCGGACACACUGACACUGAGACACGGGUCAGACUCCUACGGGAGGCAGCAGUGAGGAAUUUUGGACAAUGGGGGAAACCCUGAUCCAGCGACGCCGCGUGAAGGAUGAAGGUCUUCGGAUUGUAAACUUCUUUUAUUUGGACUAAGAAACCGGGUGAAAAUCCGGGAGUGAAUGUACCAGAUGAAUAAGCCACGGCUAACUUCGUGCCAGCAGCCGCGGUAAUACGAAGGUGGCAAGCGUUACUCGGAAUUACUAGGCGUAAAGGGCAGGUAGGUGGUUUGAUAAGUCUGUUGUGAAAGCUCCCGGCUCAACUGGGAGAGGCCAACAGAAACUAUCAGGCUUGAGUAUGGGAGAGGGUACUGGAAUUCCCGGUGUAGCGGUGAAAUGCGCAGAGAUCGGGAGGAACACCAAUGGCGAAAGCAGGUACCUGGACCAUUACUGACACUCAACUGCGAAAGCUAGGGGAGCAAACAGGAUUAGAUACCCUAGUAGUCC